rnacentral:rRNA from 1 species
UACGAAGGGGGCUAGCGUUGCUCGGAAUUACUGGGCGUAAAGCGCACGUAGGCGGCUUUUUAAGUCAGGGGUGAAAUCCUGGAGCUCAACUCCAGAACUGCCUUUGAUACUGGGAAGCUCGAGUCCGGGAGAGGUGAGUGGAACUCCGAGUGUAGAGGUGAAAUUCGUAGAUAUUCGGAAGAACACCAGUGGCGAAGGCGGCUCACUGGCCCGGUACUGACGCUGAGGUGCGAAAGCGUGGGGAGCAAACAGG